rnacentral:rRNA from 1 species
GACGAACGCUGGCGGCGUGCUUAACACAUGCAAGUCGAACGGAAAGGCCCCCAUCUUGGUGUGGGUGCUCGAGUGGCGAACGGGUGAGUAACACGUGGGUGAUCUGCUCUGUACUUCGGGAUAAGCUUGGGAAACUGGGUCUAAUACCGGAUAGGACCAUGGUCUAGUGUCUCAUGGUGGAAAGCUUAUUGUUUUGGUGCAGGAUGAGCUUGCGUCGGCUGAGCUGGUUGGUGGGGUAAUGGCCUACCAAGGCGACGACGGGUAGCGGGCCUGAGAGGGUGAGGGUCGACGGCGGCAUUGGGACACGGUCACGGCUCAGACUCGUGGGGGAGGCAGCAGUGGGGGGAAAAGCGCAGUAGGCGUGAGCCAGAUGCAGCGAGGCGGCGUGGGAGGUGACGGCCUUGGGGUUGUAAACUGCUGUCGUUAGAGAGGAGGACACGAUUUUUGGGUGUGGUGACGGUACCUUUGUGAAGAAGCACCGGCUAACUACGUG